CAUCCUUGCAGAGCUCCUCCCAAUGUGAACCUGAGGUCUGAUCAGCCAAAGUGAAAACACCUGUGUGGGAGUGCUGUGCCUUUAAAGAAAUACAGGCGCUAUCUUAUGUUUAAACUAAAUAUAGUGAAGCUAUCACGCAUACAACAGUACAGCCCAGUCACAACUUGCAGUGACCCAGUGAGUCACAACAGUGUAUACCAGGAUGCUGAAACUGAAGCAGCUAAAUGGAAUUCAGCCAUCAUUAAUGUGCUUAUUUACACCUGUGCCUCUUCCUAAUGUGAAGUGUCAAACAUCAAUUAGUCAUCUGUGUAUUCCAUGUAUUUUACAAAUAUGGGUAGUAAAGGUUGCUCUUUAAAAGAUACUGACACAGUUGAAGCUAAUGUAUCAAGCAAAGCUAACUAAGCUAAGCUAAACUAUUUCUAUUAUCUACGGUUUCUCAUGAGAAAUGCAUACUGCUUUUUUUAAUAAGAUCAAGCAAUUUCUGAUGCACUGAGCAUUUUUAGGAAAUGGAAAUCUUAAAAAAAAACAAACUGACUGUUCUGCUGACAGUGUAUGCAAAGGUCUGCAGAAGAUGAGCCGUUUUAAUUGUCUGCCUGAAGCAUUUCACAGGCACUGAGCAUCUCUUCCCACUGGACUCAAUCUAUCAACAAAAACGCACCUUUCCAAUGCCAUACAGUGAAAUCUGCCUCUGACCCUGUGAGCCAACAUGCCUCUGUGUUACAAAGCAAAUUAAAACUCACCAAAAAUA